GACGAACGCUGGCGGCGUGCUUAACACAUGCAAGUCGAACGAUGAAGCUGGGGCUUGCUCUGGUGGAUUAGUGGCGAACGGGUGAGUAACACGUGAGUAACCUGCCCUUGACUCUGGGAUAAGCGUUGGAAACGACGUCUAAUACCGGAUACGAGCUUCAGCCGCAUGGCUAGGAGUUGGAAAGAAUUUUGGUCAAGGAUGGACUCGCGGCCUAUCAGGUAGUUGGUGAGGUAACGGCUCACCAAGGCGAAGAUGUCUAGCGGGUGUGAGAGCACGACCCGCGCCACUGGCACUGAGACACUGGCCAGACACCUACGGGUGGCUGCAGUCGAGGAUCUUCGGCAAUGGACGCAAGUCUGACCGAGCGAUGCCGCGUGGAUGAUGAAGGCCUUCGGGUUGUAAAAUCCUGUCGAGGGGGAGAAAAGCCGAAAGGUUUGAUCUAUCCCUGGAGGAAGGACGGGCUAAGUUCGUGCCAGCAGCCGCGGUAAGACGAACCGUCCGAACGUUGUUCGGAAUCACUGGGCUUAAAGGGCGCGUAGGCGGGCCACCAAGUCCGGGGUGAAAUCCUCCAGCUCAACUGGAGAACUGCCUCGGAUACUGGAGGUCUCGAGGAUGAUAGGGGCAUGCGGAACUGUAGGUGGAGCGGUGAAAUGCGUUGAUAUCUACAGGAACUCCGGUGGCGAAGGCGGCAUGCUGGAUCAUUUCUGACGCUGAGGCGCGAAAGCUAGGGGAGCGAACGGGAUUAGAUACCCCGGUAGUCCUAGCCCUAAACGAUGGGUACUAGGUAGUAGGCUUUACAUGGGCUUACUUCCGAAGCAAAAGUGUUAAGUACCCCGCCUGGGGAGUAUGGUCGCAAGGCUGAAACUCAAAGGAAUUGACGGGGGCUCACACAAGCGGCGGAGUAUGUGGUUUAAUUCGAUGCAACGCGAAGAACCUUACCAGGACUUGACAUGUCGCGAAUCUUCUUGAAAGAGAGGAGUGCCUUCGGGAGCGCGAACACAGGUGGUGCAUGGCUGUCGUCAGCUCGUGUCGUGAGAUGUUGGGUUAAGUCCCGCAACGAGCGCAACCCUCGUGUUUAGUUGCCAUCAUUAAGUUGGGCACUCUAAACAGACUGCCGGUGACAAACCGGAGGAAGGUGGGGAUGACGUCAAGUCAGCAUGCCCCUUACGUCCUGGGCUACACACGUACUACAAUGGUAGGGACAGAGGGCAGCCAACCCGCGAGGGCGAGCUAAUCCCGUAAACCCUGCCUCAGUUCAGAUUGCAGGCUGCAACUCGCCUGCAUGAAGGCGGAAUCGCUAGUAAUCGCAGGUCAGCAUACUGCGGUGAAUCCGUUCCCGGGCCUUGUACACACCGCCCGUCACACCAUGGAAGUUGGCCACGCCCGAAGUCAUUACUCUAACCUUUCGAGGGGGAGGAUGCCGAAGGCAGGACUGAUGACUGGGGUG
rnacentral:rRNA from 1 species